rnacentral:rRNA from 1 species
AUUGAACGCUGGCGGCAUGCCUUACACAUGCAAGUCGAACGGCAGCACGGGAGCAAUCCUGGUGGCGAGUGGCGAACGGGUGAGUAAUAUAUCGGAACGUGCCCAGUCGUGGGGGAUAACGCAGCGAAAGCUGUGCUAAUACCGCAUACGAUCUAUGGAUGAAAGCGGGGGAUCGCAAGACCUCGCGCGAUUGGAGCGGCCGAUAUCAGAUUAGCUAGUUGGUGGGGUAAAGGCCCACCAAGGCGACGAUCUGUAGCUGGUCUGAGAGGACGACCAGCCACACUGGAACUGAGGCACGGUCCAGACUCCUACGGGAGGCAGCAGUGGGGAAUUUUGGACAAUGGGCGCAAGCCUGAUCCAGCAAUGCCGCGUGCAGGAUGAAGGCCUUCGGGUUGUGAACUGCUUUUGUACGGAACGAAACGGUCCUUUCUAAUACAGAGGGCUAAUGACGGUACCGUAAGAAUAAGCACCGGCUAACUACGUGCCAGCAGCCGCGGUAA